UACGUAGGGUGCAAGCGUUGUCCGGAAUUAUUGGGCGUAAAGAGCUCGUAGGCGGUCUGUCGCGUCGGCUGUGAAAUCCCGAGGCUCAACCUCGGGUCUGCAGUCGAUACGGGCAAACUAGAGUAUUGCAGGGGAGACUGGAAUUCCUGGUGUAGCGGUGAAAUGCGCAGAUAUCAGGAGGAACACCGGUGGCGAAGGCGGGUCUCUGGGCCGUAACUGACGCUGGAGGAGCGAAAGCCGUGGGGAGCGAACAGG
rnacentral:rRNA from 1 species